rnacentral:rRNA from 1 species
CAGCCGCCGCGGUAAUAUGAAGGGGGCUAGCGUUGCUCGGAAUCACUGGGCGUAAAGGGCGCGUAGGCGGCCGAUCAAGUCAGAGGUGAAAGCCCAAGGCUCAACCUUGGAAUUGCCUUUGAUACUGUUCGGCUCGAGACCGGAAGAGGUUAGUGGAACUGCGAGUGUAGAGGUGAAAUUCGUAGAUAUACGCAAGAACACCAGUGGCGAAGGCGGCUAACUGGUCCGGUUCUGACGCUGAGGCGCGAAAGCGUGGGGAGCAAACAGGAUUAGAUACCCGCGUAGUCCCUGUCUCUUAUAA